rnacentral:tRNA from 1 species
GUCUCAGUAGCGUACUGGUUAACCCACAAACCCGGUCAGGCCCGAGACGCGGGUUCGAACCCCGCCUGAGAUG